UGACAGCUGGAAAUUCUUUCUGCUCUUCUGUGAGUUGAGAGCUACAAAUGGGAGACUUUUCAAGCCCAGUUCCAAACACAGGAAUUCUUCCCUAGUCAGUCUGUCUCCUGGGCCCCACUGAGACAGCUGGCCUUCCCACGCAAGCUAAUGCGCUCAGCUGUGACUGCCCGUUCCUGGGUCAGCCUGCUCCAGCUCACCCUUGACGGGGAACACCGGCUCCCUGACAGCUUGAGCCGCUUUCUGUUCCAAGCUGCAGAGAGCACCGUGGAGUCUUUUCAAAAUGCAGGUCAGCAACUCCCAGGAGUUCCUGCAGCCUCGGCUGCCAUGAUCUUCUUAUUUCUUUAGCCAGUUCUUUGAGACUCAGGGCAGGAUUUGAGCCCCAUACGAGAUCCUUCUCCUGGCUUUUGUGGAGGUGAUUAAACCAAUGUCUUCUUCCUGAAAAAGAGAAAAUCUUCCACUGGAUUUGGCAUAAGAACACAGCUAGACUGGAAAUGGGGAGACUAGAAAACAGAGGAGUUACUAGGUUUGAUAAGCUUCAAAAAUCCUCUCCCUUAGAGACGAUGCUGAUAGAAGGGUGAGAAAACCUCCUCCUGUGCAAGAGACCUGCUAGAGAGCUUGGGAAAGAGAGCAGCACUGAGGCUUGGAGGGGCAGGAGGGAGGUCUUCGGAACAGGAAAGAGACUUUCCACCACAGAGACUGUAAGAUGGUGACAUCCGGUCCUGAAAGUCAGAAGUAAGCAAUCAGCCUAUAGGUUCCCAGAACAUGCUCUCGGGAGGCAACUGUGGAAAAAGGCCAGGGCUUUUUCUGUGUAACAGCCUGCUGUCCUGGAACUCACUCUGUAGAUCAGGCUGGCCUUGAACUCACAGAGACCCAGCACUGGGAUUAAAGGUGUGUGCCACCACUGGCUGGCAAGAAGCAGUUUUAAUGAAGAUUGUCAUGGAGUUUCAGAUUUCUUUGUUUUUAACUGUCUCUAUUCGGCUGCUUACACUCAAGGUGCAGUGGAUCAGUUCCAGAAUGGGCAAUCACAGCACAGACCCACCUCACCAUCUGGGCGGUCACAAGCUAGAAGAACAUCUCCAUAGGAUGAAGAAGAAUGGUGCCAGGCACAAGUUUAAUGGUCUAAAGGCAGGGUGUGGGAAGAGAACUCCUCUUACCUUGUCUUUCCUCUUUUCACUUGAAGCGGGUGGGAUUAAGUCCUCCGGUGCUGGAGUCUGAUUGUUUUAGUGUGUAGCCUGGAAGAGUCCCCUCAGUCUCCUGGCCCUGUGGCUCCUCUACAGUGCUGAAGUGAACAGGUUUCCCAAAUAGAGUGGGACCAGCUUGUUUCUCCCUUUGCCUGGACCUGGGAAAUAGCAUGCUAACCUCGUUUGGGCGUUAAGGAGAUAGGUCACCCUAGACUUUGUUAGAACAGCACCCAGCAUAUAGCAAGUUCUGUAAGGUGGGGCCCCCCCGCCCCCCUCUUCUCCCUUUUUCUCCUCUCCUCUUGCACCGAGGGAUGGUUAGAUGUGGACAUCUGCCCACUCGGCUAUAACCCCUGGCAGUCUCAGUGUGUUCGAGGAGUGUGGGAAUUGGGCACUGGCCUGUGUCCUGCAGCGGGGCCAUAAAACAGCGGCAAAGGGAGCCGCUGGUGCAGAUAGGCCUGGAGAUGAAAGGCGGUGCGUUUUCCUUUCCAAAGUGCGGCUGUGUUCCUGAAGGCCUGCAGCUUCCUCUGCCCUGCUGACUUUUCUCUCUCUCUCUUCCCAGCUCCCCUCGGUGAUAUCUUAAGAGGCAAACUUCCAGCACUAACAAGAGGUCUUUUGUUCUCUUUUUUUCUCAAAGUGGACUUUAACCUAGUUACUACAGACUGAGUCACUGUGCAAACAAACAAAUAAUAAGACUUGGUUUUCUUAAAGGCCCUUCCAUUGCUGUUGACAAAAAAGGGGGAACCUGACACUUUCUUGGGGGCCUAUGGGGCUCUUAUUCACCCCAACCUUUUAGAGAAUCAGCCUUGGAGAAGCUUCCAGAACAUGCAGGAGCCUGGCACUAUGGCUUGCUUAGACUUCCAUCUAUUGGGGUGGUCCGUGAACUGUGAUGAAUUUAGGGUCUCAGCACAGUCUUGGUAGGUUUAUCCCAGACUGAGGAGAACUUGAUACACUCCUGGGCUGGGCUCAGUUCUGGACUAGCCUCCCUUGUUCACACUUUAGAUUCUUUAUAUGUAACACUAGGGUAUAAAGACGUCUGGUCUUAUCGGGAAAGUCUUUGCAAUUGACCCUGCUCUGUUAGAAGACCAGGGCAAAGUAAAGGGCUGUUUAUGGCAGCCUCAGUCCAGUCAACAACAGCUUUAUGGGCCCUCAGGAAUGGGGUGGGUGUCAGAUGAGAAAGACUCACUUCCGGCCUUCUGAAAGACACACAGGUAAGUAGGCAAAUGCAGUCUUCUCAUGAGGAUAAGAUGGUUUUGUGCCAAGAGAAGGGAAUGUCUAUUCCUCUGGGGAGUGCAUUGAAGUUUUCCCAGAGGACAUGGUGUUUGAGCGAAGAUGUUCAGGGGAAGCUACGGUGUUUAUGACAGGCAGAAGGAACAAGGGGAAGAGUCCAUGCCAAGACUGGACCCAUCAUAGUACAAACUUCCUUUAAUAUUUCUUCAAUAAUUUUUGCUUAAUUAUUUAAGUAGACCUGGACCUUCUCUUUUGCAAGGAGAGAAGUCUCUGGAAGAGCAUUGCUACUGGCUUUGGAACUCUGUGCCAAAAUGUUUUACUACAUCAAACAUUAAGACACGCUUUAGGCCUCUAGCCCACUGGACAUACUGCCCAAGGGCAGAGCCAGGGUUUCCAGUGAAUGGAAUUCACAUUCCCUAAGAGCUUGUCACCCUCUGUGUUUUUAGCUCCCCAGAGCUCAAGGGCAUUGUGCAACACACUCACGCCUACCAUGAAAAGGCAGUUCAGGUGUUUGGAAAACUCUGGCUCACAUUGUCCCAAUGUCUAAGUCUCCCUUUUGUGCACCUUCCCCAGAAUCCGUGGGUGGAUUAAUGGUCUUCCUUUUUCUACGGCUCAUUCUUUGCACUGCGAUUUAAGCCCCAUUCUUGAACACCCCUGCUCCUGGACUGUGAACUCCCUAGAUGGGGAUUAUACAAAUGUACUAUUUUUAGGGGGGGGGGGAUUGUUAGUUUGUUUGAGACAGGGUCUCACAAUAUAGCUCUGGAUGUCAUGAAACUCAUUAUGUAGACCAGGCUGGCCUCAAACUCACAGAGAUCCACCUGCCUCUGCCUCCUGAGUGCUGGGAUUAAAGGCGUGCACCACUAUACCUGGUUAGCACUUUUGAAUGGUCGAUCUUUCCUAAUAUUUGUCUCAUAGACACAAAAGGUGAUCAAGGGAUAUUUAUUAAGUGGACACAUACUUAGGAGAAUGUUGGUUGAGUGGGUGUAUUUUGUCCAAUCUGACAAAUAGCAUCAACAGGAUGAUCAUGGAUGAUAAAAUGGCCAGGCCUAAGAAUCCCCAAAAGGUCCCAGCCUGUGUAGAAAGAGAUUUCUUCUUCCAAGAAGCUGCUUGCGCUCGAUCAUUUAGAUUUAAAAUCUGACUGCUUCGACCAUGGGAAUCCAAGGCAAAGAAACUUGCUGUUUUUCAAGCUGAUUUCUUCGCUUUAGUGAACCCCAGCAUCACUAAAGAAGUCAGCAUCAGGCCACCCCUCUGGGUGCAGACCAUAGUCUCCUUGCGUAGUCCCGACCUAACCAGUCGCUUUCUGUGCUGGGGGAUACCAGCCUUGGUCUUGGCCUGCCUUUCCUGGAUUGGCUCCGAGAGGAUGAGUCAACAGUUCCAGACAAACUCGCUCUCCCUGACAGUAGCUGGUUGAUUUCUUCUGAGAAAAUGGAAACCUUGGUCUUCUGAUGUGUGCAGUGACAGACACAAGAGGAAUUUUCCAAUACAACCAGGGAGUGGAUUUUCCAAGGCCAGGCUGACCAAGGAAAGCCUUCAUUUGCCCGUGCUCCAGAAUUAGGUAAUGUGGCACCCCCUGGAGUAGAAGAGGUGGCUGGCUACACCAGGAGGAACGCUGUGCUCCCUCCUCUUUCUGGCCUGCCUGGUGAUCUGCCACCAAUGGGAUUAGUGGCUCCGAGACAGCUGGGUCAUCUCAGUGCCAUUUCCCUGCGGUGAGAAGAGACAUGAUGUUGUUUCUGUUUGGGAAGGAGGUGGCGGUGAAGAGCAGCUGAAAGCUAGAUGACUCUCUAGAAUCUGUGACAGAAAUGCUAUGCACAGGGCCUAUCCAGGCUGCAGCCGAUUUCACAGCGGCCCAACUGUGCCCCUCCAUGAACUCAUUCAUUAUUCCAUAUGCUUACCGGGCUCCACUCUACGGCUAACCCUGUCCUAUGAACUGGACAAACAAAGCUCUGAAUUGUUCCCUGCCCUGGUUGGUUCUACUUCCCUUCAUCAUCCUCUGUAAGAGAAGGGCCAUUGUUUUCCUCAGCCCCUUUCUUUCUCACAGCCAUGGCAGAUAAUUUUUUUUUUCCAAAGGUCUCCAGGAAUAGAUGCAUGAAAAGACCCGGGAGAAGGGAUGAAUCACACUCGCAUUUGAAAACCCACCGAGGAGCUGUCAGGGUUUGCAAUUGUCCUCUUCGAACCCUGGAAAUACACUUAAGACGCCUUGGAGAGGCUCAUUACUGGCUGGGAGAAAGCAUGGCUUGGGUCUGAUGAAUUCCCAAUGUCAGGUGGAAUUCUCAAAGCCUUCCAGGGCUCGUACCAUAGCAGAACGUCCACCUGAGUAAGGCCGAAGAUGUUGGCGCAGUGUCCAUAACGGGAAGGGGCUGGGGAAUCCAAGGAAAGACGUGGGAUAAAAAGCAGGGGACACAUCUGCGAGCCCCUCUCAUCAUCUUUCUUUAAUGAUCCCCCUCCGCCGAUUUUGGAAAAGACGUGCUUAUGGAAAAAACUGGAAAAGUAGAGCUAACGCCUCAAAAGAAAUAAACGCAAAGCAGAAACCUAUUACCCAGAGACAGCGCUCUGACCAUUUUCGAUGGAUUUUGUAGUUCAAAAAAAAAAAUGUGUAUGAUGCUUUCCUUAAAAACUGUUCCGUUUUGUGCAGGGUACUUCAUAAUCCACUCCCCCCUUUAAUGAUACGUUAUGUGAACAUUUUCCCACCGGGCUGAGCUUUUCUUCUAAUACAAUUUUAAUGACUACCUAGUAUUCCAUCUCGCAGAUGUUUAAUUUAACUAACACCAUAUACUUGUGUCUGUUUUUAGUUUGUGUAUCUUAUUCUCUGCCACCAUAAAUUACACGAUGUUGACACUGGGGA